GCGGCGACAGGGCCAGCCUUUCUUUCGGUCGCCGAAAUUCUGCUCGGGGACGGAGGACGGGGCAACCAGAGGGAAGACUUUGCUCGCGGCCCACAGCCCUGCCUCUUCUCUCCCGCGCUGGCCGGGCGGGCUUUGCAGCCUUCUGACUGUUGGGCAACUCAGUGCCUGGAAUUUCACGCACGCCCCCGCCUCCGGGUUGAAUUCUUUGCCCGUGUCUACUUGGAGGACUUCGCAUCCCUGACUCGUCCUGGAGCACGGCUGCGCGUGUUAUUAAAAGUCUUACAGGGCUUGCCCUUCCUAGGAAUUUUCCUGUCAGCAGCAGGAAGCUAACAUACAACAUCCGUUUCAGCUACCUGAAGUCAACUGCAUUCCAGAAGCACAAGAUCCUUCUGAGGGGUUGUCUUACAGUCUAGUAGCCUAGUGCUAGGUUGCAAAAGCCGCCCCAUGUCAUCUCGUCAUGUGGGCAUUUGAUCAUCUCUCAUCAUCCUCGGAGGACGAGUGAGUACAGGACAAGAAGAUAUUUGGAGAGAGCACAUCCACAUAACCUUUAUUACGGUAUAAUUGUACCGUUCUAUUUGUUAUUGUUGCUAAUCUCUUACUAUGACUAAUUUAUAAAUCGAACUUUGUCACAGGUGUGUGUGUGUGUGUG